GGUCAGUUAGCUCACUCGGUUAGAGCGUGAUUCUGAUAAUACCUAGGUCACGGGUUCAAUUCCCCUUCUGUCCC
rnacentral:tRNA from 1 species